UACGGAGGGUGCUAGCGUUGUUCGGAAUCACUGGGCGUAAAGCGCGUGUAGGCGGCCUGUUAAGUCUGAUGUGAAAGCCCGGGGCUCACCCCCGGAAGUGCAUUGGAAACUGCCAGGCUCGAGUCCCGGAGAGGAGGGUGGAAUUCCUGGUGUAGCGGUGAAAUGCGUAGAGAUCAUGAGGAAGACCAGUGGCGAAGGCGGGUCUCUGGACAGUACCUGACACUGAGGCACGAAGGCCAGGGGAGCAAACGGG
rnacentral:rRNA from 1 species